AUCAAUUGAUCUAUGACUUGUGAACGCCAGUCAAGGACCAGAAAAAUGACAAGUGUAAAUUUCGCAUUUGUUUUUUUUUUAUAACGUCAAUGUAUUCAUAAUUGAUGUUCAAAAUGUAUUAGUGUGGCAUCAAUGUAUUCAUAACUAUUAAUCAAAAUUUAUUAGCGUAACAUUUAUUUAGAACCAUAAAAGCAAACGGAAUCUUUAUGAGCAGAAGGCAUACGCUAAUCGAGGACCAGAAAAUUGUCAAAACCAUACAAGCUAACAGAUUCUUCUUGAUCAUGGUGAAAAUAACAAAUAUAUACAAAUAUUUUGCAUUAAUUAUGAUAUCUUCGAUUUUACGCACUUUAGAAUUAAUCAGAUAAAUCAAUCGAUCUAUGAAUUUUUUUAACGUAAGUAACGACAAUCAAGGACCAGUCAUAUGUCAAAACCAUACAAGCAAACGGAAUCUUCAUGAACAGAAAACAAACGACAAUCAAGGACAAGGAAAUUGUCAAGUAUAAACUUCACAUUUGGCAUUUUUUCUUAUUACAUCAAUGUAUUCAUAACUGCUCUUCAAAAUAUAUUAGUGUAACAUCAAUUUAUUCAUAACUGAUAUUCAAAAUAUAAUAGUGUAGCAUUCAUUUAGAACCAUUCAAGCAAACGAAUUCUUUAUCAACAAGUAAAAAAUAACAAAUAUAUACAAAACUUUAGUAUUACUUACCAUUUAUAAAAUAAAUGCUACUUAUGAAUAUAAGUAGCAUUAUUUUAUAAAUAGUAUAGAAAAAAUACUGCAACAGCAGCUUAGGUAUAAUAUGUUGAUUUUAACUUUAUCUUGCAGUACUGUAAUUUUUACAUUUAAUGUCUGUUGAAAUUUUGUAUUUAUUAUAAUAAAUGUUUAUUUUUCUGUAACUCCUCCACACGUUGACUGAGUUUUUAAACAAGAAGGCCGUAGUUCGAAUCCA